GACCAGGGGUGCUACAAGUGAUUGUGGCUGAGAUUAAACCCUCGAACCUGAUCCGGAUAAUGCCGGCGGAGGAAAUGUAAUAUGU
rnacentral:ncRNA from 1 species